UUUUAGAGAGUUUGAUCCUGGCUCAGGACGAACGCUGGCGGCGUGCCUAACACAUGCAAGUCGAACGGAGUGAAACGCUGAUUUGAUUGUAGCUUGCUACAGGAUUUUCUUGUUUCACUUAGUGGCGGACGGGUGAGUAACGCGUGAGCAACCUGCCUCUAAGUGGGGAAUAACAUUUGGAAACGAAUGGUAAUACCGCAUAAUAUAUAUUUGCCGCAUGACAGAUAUAUCAAAGAUUUAUCGCUUAGAGAUGGGCUCGCGUCCGAUUAGCUAGUUGGUGAGGUAACGGCUCACCAAGGCGACGAUCGGUAGCCGGACUGAGAGGUUGAACGGCCACAUUGGGACUGAGACACGGCCCAGACUCCUACGGGAGGCAGCAGUGGGGGAUAUUGCGCAAUGGGGGAAACCCUGACGCAGCA
rnacentral:rRNA from 1 species